rnacentral:rRNA from 1 species
AACGUAGGAGGCGAGCGUUAUCCGGAUUUACUGGGUGUAAAGCGCGUGCAGGCGGUUGUGUAAGUUGGAUGUGAAAGCUCCUGGCUCAACUGGGAGAGGUCGUUCAAAACUGCGCAACUGGAGUAUGGUAGGGGAAGGUGGAAUUCCGGGUGUAGUGGUGAAAUGCGUAGAGAUCCGGAGGAACACCAGUGGCGAAGGCGGCCUUCUAGACCAUGACUGACGCUCAGACGCGAAAGCUAGGGUAGCAAACGGGAUUAGAAACCCCAGUAGUCC